rnacentral:rRNA from 1 species
AUUGAACGCUGGCGGCAUGCCUUACACAUGCAAGUCGAACGGCAGCGCGGGAGCAAUCCUGGCGGCGAGUGGCGAACGGGUGAGUAAUGCAUCGGAACGUGCCUAGUAGUGGGGGAUAACUGCUCGAAAGAGCAGCUAAUACCGCAUACGACCUGAGGGUGAAAGGGGGGGAUCGCAAGACCUCUCGCUAUUAGAGCGGCCGAUGUCGGAUUAGCUAGUUGGUGGGGUAAAGGCCCACCAAGGCAACGAUCCGUAGCUGGUCUGAGAGGACGACCAGCCACACUGGGAUUGAGACACGGCCCAGACUCCGACGGGAGGCAGCAGUGGGGAAUUUUGGACAAUGGACGCAAGUCUGAUCCAGCCAUGCCGCGUGCGGGAAGAAGGCCUUCGGGUUGUAAACCGCUUUUGUCAGGGAAGAAAUCUUCUGGGCUAAUACCCUGGGAGGAUGACGGUACCUGAAGAAUAAGCACCGGCUAACUACGUGCCAGCAGCCGCAGUAACAC